rnacentral:misc_RNA from 1 species
GAUGAAGAACGUAGCGAAAUGCGAUAAGUAAUGUGAAUUGCAGAAUUCAGUGAAUCAUCGAAUCUUUGAACGCACAUUGCGCCCGCCAGUAUUCUGGCGGGCAUGCCUGUCCGAGCGUCAUUUCAACCCUCGAACCCCUGCGGGGGGUCGGCGUUGGGGAUCGGCACUUACCUGCCGGCCCCGAAAUACAGUGGCGGCCUCGCCGCAGCCUCCCAUGCGCAGUAGCUUGCACACUCGCACCGGGAGCGCGGCGCGUCCACGUCCGUAAAACACCCAACUUCUGAAAUGUUGACCUCGGAUCAGGUAGGAAUACCCGCUGAACUUAAGCAUAUCAAUAAGCGGAGGA